AACUAAAUCCACCUUGCAUGUGUUUUGCUGCGUAAUUCUUGGUGUUCGGUGUUUGCUGUUUUGUCAGGGAUUUGUUUGGCUAUUUGAUGGUGUUUGUGGUGGUUUUGGUGUUUGUUGUGGUGUUUGUGGUGGUGUUUGUUGUGUUUUUGGUGUCUUCCAUGUGGUCUUCUCGGUUGUAUUCGAUCAUGUUUGUGUUGUUUUGUUAAAAUGGGCGUUUGGUGCGAAUUGUAUGUCGCAUUUGGUUCUUCAUCGUUCGUUCCAUUACAAGGUGACUUUCUUUUUGCCAUUAGCAGUACAUUAUAACUAGAUUUAUUCAUUUACACAAAAAAUGCGCUGUGAUUAAUUUGUUUUACGUUUCCCAUCAGUUUUAGGUAGCUGCAAAGACAUGUCAUGAAAUUUGCAGACGACAGAUAUGGGGUGCAGGCGAGAUCUGGGUUGAACGCGCGAAAGCUGCAAAGACAUGCCAUGAAAUAUGCAGACGACAGACAUGCGGUACAGACGAGAUCUGGGUUGAACGCGCGAAAUUGUUUUAUUUUAUUUCUGCGUUUUACUCUUUUUGUUUUGGUUUUCUUUUUUUCUACUAGAAUUCUGUGGUAUGUGUACUUGAAGAAAAAAGACGCAGAUGGACAUGGAGAUGCAGACCAAGCAAAAUGUGCGUUUCUGUUUAUGAUGAACAGUAAUUCUGGAGCGUAGGAAUGUGCAUUCAACUUCUGGCUAUGGUGAAAGUAAAAGUAUCGGACAAGAAACUCAAAACUAUUCGAUGAGAAACUCAGGCUAUCGGCGUGACGUGGAACCCGAAUUAUCCAACAAGAAGCAGUUUCCUGUACCAUACACGAAGAAAAAUUUAGUUGAUGGAACUACAGUUGUCGUAGAAUUGCCUUGCUGGUACUAAAAAGAUGCCGAUAACCAGAGUGGGCACUGGUAGCCAAUCGAUGUCGCUCAUCAGAGGUGCUCUGGACCCCUUAUGUCAACAUAGUAAUCAACUGUUCUU